rnacentral:tRNA from 1 species
GCACUGGUGGUUCAGUGGUAGAAUACUCGCCUGCCACGCGGGUGACCCGGUUUCGAUUCCCGGCCAGUGCA